ACUUAAGCCAGCAUAUAGAGCUAAUUGCUUCAACCUUGAUACACCUGAACUGUAGACACGUAACAGUUGCAAUUGUAAGGUCCACUGGUUAAAAAUUGUGCAUGUAACCACAAACAAGAAUGCGCUACAGUUUAUGCUACUGUUUAAAUAUGUACACGUACGCUGUUGUGGCGUAUGUCGUUAAUACUGUAACCACAUGUG